rnacentral:lncRNA from 1 species
CCGCCAAAAUUAGGUAGGUGAAACGAAAAGGCAGCCGGCCGGUCUUUCAGCAAUUCAGCUCUUUAUAAAUACUUUUCAUUUAUCAAUUAAUCACCACUAACUAAAUUAAUGAUAUCAUAUAAUUAGAAAAUAAAAUAAGAGUACCUACAUCUUUUAUAUUAUAUCUCAAUUUAUUAUAAAAUUCCUAAAGUAUAUUGUGAACCGAGGGAGUAUGACGUGUCACAUAGUAUAUAUAUAGCUAGAAGGCAAACUAGAUGAUAAGCAUGCAGCAGUACGUGCAGGACUAAUCUGAGCAGCUUAGGUGCAAGCAUAUUUGGCCCGUGGUUACGCUGGUAGAUAGCCGUCCGCGUCCGGUUUGGUUUGGUUGCCAGGUGUGAGGACUGAGGUGUGGCUCUGCUCCUGUUCUGGCUCCCCCGAUGGACCGAGAAUCCCGUGGCGUGAGAAAUCUUUACCUGAAUCGCUUAAACCGAUUCAGGAGCAGCUGAAACUAUCGGGCUGGAGUUCCCUAAAGUUAAGAGGGAGCAGUCUGUGUCCAGGGGUCCAGCUAGCCAUGCUGUUCGCUGUUUUUUUUUGAGAGAGAAAAAGUGAAAAACAAUUGAUAGAUUAGACUGCUGGCAAAGUUUCCCUUCCGGCCGUCGAUCGAAGGUCCUGCUGAAAAUGUGCACCCACGUCCAACCCCACACCACUACAGGAUUAUAAGGCUUUACCGAGUGCCUAGACAUUUGGCAAAGACACUUAUACGGUUAGAAAAGGCUUUGCCGAGUCCACUAGACAACCAUGAGCUGACGACUCUUUGCCGAGUGCCACCUUGAAAGGCACUCAGCAAAGAUAAUUUAAUUUUUUUUAAAAAAUUAUUUACCGAGUGCCACGUGGCAGGCACUCGGCAAAGCUAGCAAUUGGACUGGCAGGUGCCUAGCUUUGCCGAGUGCCUACACUUGGCAAAGCUAGGAUUUUUUUUUGUUUUUUUUUUGUUUUUUCAGGUAUUUCACAUUAAACAAAUACAACAAUAUAUAUAAUAGAUAUCCACAUAUAUAGUCACAACAUAUAUAAUAGAAAUCUGCAUAU